ACUCCUUAAAGACUAUGAUUGUGAUAUCUUAUACCAUCCGGGUAAGGGCAAUGUGGUAGCAGACGCUCUCAGCAGAAAAAGUGCAGGUAUCUUAAUCCAUUUGAUGGUUUCAGAAUGCAGGCAAAUUGGGGCCACACAACAGGUUCGACUUCAGGACUUGAGGAGAGUCACAUGUUUGGGCCGCUUGACAGUCCAGCCC
rnacentral:lncRNA from 1 species